rnacentral:rRNA from 1 species
GACGAACGCUGGCGGCGUGCUUAACACAUGCAAGUCGAACGAUGAACCCGGAGCUUGCUCCGGUGGAUUAGUGGCGGACGGGUGAGUAACACGUGAGUAACCUGCCCUUGACUCUGGGAUAACUGCGGGAAACUGUAGCUAAUACCGGAUACGACCCUCGGCGGCAUCGCCAGGGGGUGGAAAGAAUUUCGGUCAAGGAUGGACUCGCGGCCUAUCAGCUAGUUGGUGAGGUAACGGCUCACCAAGGCGACGACGGGUAGCCGGCGUGAGAGGGGGACCGGCCCAACUGGGACUGAGACACGGCCCAGACUCCUACGGGAGGAAGCAGUGGGGAAUAUUGCACAAUGGGCGCAAGCCUGAUGCAGCAACGCCGCGUGAGGGAUGACGGCCUUCGGGUUGUAAACCUCUUUUAGUAGGGAAGAAGCGAAAGUGACGGUACCUGCAGAAAAAGCACCGGCUAACUACGUGCCAGCCGCCGCCGUAA